rnacentral:RNase_MRP_RNA from 2 species
UCCUCGCUCAAAGAAUCGCAUUCAAAGCUCACACACAGGAAUAUCAUCCCCGAUAUUCCUCCCAAGCUUUGGGAGAAAGUCCCCGGACACCCUGCCCUGAUCCUUCGGGAUCCGCGGUAGGCAAUGCGGAAACGCGCCGCCAUAGAAGCAAUUCGACAGCGGCUGACUGCCCUACUCCCUCCCGGUGCCCUGCCUAUAUCCGACGCCCUCUGCGGUGGACACAAUGGCGGUAUAGCGGGGUGUCGGAGAGGGGUUUUGAUUGGGUUGCCUUUCGUCGUGUUUGGAUAGUCAUGCGAUUGCCCUGGUUUUUUCUAACCGGGUAACUCAAUGGGGCUCAUUCUUGAGGCGAGG